CUCAAGACGGGAGGCAAUGAUCCGCCGGACGUACCGCUGCGGCCACCGCAGUCCGGCGGGGAGCCACUGGUGAGACCGGCCCGCGUGCCG
rnacentral:ncRNA from 1 species